AGCGGGACCAGCUCAGCACACGACAGAAAGCUGGAGCACCGUCACCCCCUCCGCGCCUCCCCCAAAGCAAAGGGUCGCUUGGUGCGGCCAGCUGGUCCUGGCGUGUGUCUAGGCUCCGUGUCCCCGUCCACUGGCUGACAGCGUCCUGCUCUCCUCUCCUCCACUCCCCUCUAGUCCCUUGCCCCGGCAACAGAGCCUACUUGGGCCGGCUUGGCUGCUGUGGUGCCUCUGGAACUGAAUGGAAAGGCUGGCUCGCACAAGUGAAGCCCUGGCCCAUGGGCGUGCAUGCUCCCUGGCAGGCAGGCUCUUGAGAAUAUAGGAGGUAUGGAGUUGCCCAAUCAGUGACCACUUCCUGUAGUACAGAUAUGAGGGUCUCAGGAAGUGUGUGGAGAACAAAUUUAGAUGGGAAUACCCGCUUAGAAGUUUUGAGGAUCCCUUCCUGGGUUCCCAAUACUGCACAGGACACAGUCCUGUAUUUUCUCUGAUAGUCUCUCAGUGCAAGUCAGAAAAUAGGAAAUGGCAUUUGCUCUAGGCUUAGCAAUUAGACUCCAACGAAACUCAGAUUUCCUUUUGGCUCUUUUUAGAGUGUAUAGACUUUGGAAGGUCUUUGUCGGGGUCUCUGACGUCCCUGUGUGGCGCUGUGCGCGCGCCGUCCGAGGGCGAGCUUCAUGCUGAUGCUCCCGUAGGAGGGCGGCGAGAUGGCACUGUUCUUUUCGUGUUCCUGGUGCUGCUCUGACUGACUUGUUCAGACGAGCAUGGCUUUGGAUCUGACAGAAGUUAAAGUACCAUUUUGUAGGCCCUUGUUUCUAUGUUUAAGAUGCGAGUAGGUGGAGGUACUUUGCCGAACAUGUGAGCGGCAAAGGGAAGCGGGAGGGAUGGGGAGGGAGGCACGUGGCCCCUGUGUCUGAGGGCGCCCCGGGGACCCGGCUUUGCCCGCCUCUGGGUGAUUUUGAGGGUGCGUUUACCUCCCUUCUGGCUUUCUAGCAGGGUGGCACCAGGGUGUGCCGGCAGUCCCCCUUCGGGGAGGCUGGACGGGGCGGGAGGAUGGGGAGUGCUGGAAUGGGAAUGAUGGUUGGCGACGGUCUGUUGGCUGCUGAGAAGGCGUGUCUCGCGCACCCUAUAGUUGCUCUUCUCAGGGGGUGAUCCAUUUGCACCCCCAAGAUUGUCUUCUAUCCCGUUUUAUUAGAAAUUGCCCAGGUCCAAGUAAAAGCCUGCGUGUCACACGUUUCAAUUAUCCAUGGAACCGGAGGACUCAGAGAGAAGGCAGCCACACUGAUCAGUAGGAAAUACCAGCCGCUGUUUCCAAGUUUGGUUUUGUUAGAGAAAUCGGUAUUUCUCCUGGGUUUAAUUUAGCCUGGUUUCCUGUUUGUUCACUGUGUGGUCACUAGGUCACAGGCUGUCUGCAGAUGGAGGAGAGUCCACAUCUUGGCCCAUCACGUUCAAGGGAGAAGAGAGGCAACGUUUUCAUUAAAACUCACAUUUUAAAAUUUAUGUAUCUAUUUAAAAGUCAAAGUUACAGAGAAUUGUUCCAUUCCCCCAAAUGGCUACAAGUGCUAGAGCUGGGCAGGUCCAAAGCUGGCAGCCAGGGUCUUCCACCUGGUUGUAGGGCUGGCCAGUACAUGGGCCACCCUCUGCCACUUUCCAAGACCAUUAACAGAGAGCUGGAUGGGAAGUGGAACAACUGGGACUUGAACUGGCACCGAUAUGGGAUGUUGGCACUUCAGGUGGAGGCCUAACUUGAUACACUGCAGCUCUGGCCCCCACAUUCAGCAUCUUUAUGAUAGUGUUGCUCGCCUAAGAAACACGUUGAAAGUAAAAAUGCUAAUGUGAAAUAUUCUCGUUACAGGUGAUGUUGUUUUUACACCCUUGACUUGUGUUUAACUUUUAAGUAAUAGAUCGUGCAGAUAUUUACGAGUGGUUUUGCAGAAGUUUGUAUGUUCUUGUCUAAAAUCAGAGCCUGUAGCAUGGAGCUGAGUUCUUAGGUAGAUCAUGUGUGGUGACAUCUUUCUUAGAUGUUGUUUCAUUUGCUUCCAUUUGUACACACAUUCUUUUAGCAGUGUUAUGUCUUUGGUUUAAUUACAGCUGCAUUGCUUUUAAUGGAAGACUAAUCUAGUAUAGGUCUGUUAAUUAUUUUUGACAUCUGCCCUGAUUAAGUCAGCUUAAUUUUCUGAGACUUGAAGCAAUGAUCAGUAGAGGAGGGAGAGAGAAGCUCAUCCUCCAUCAAGUGAAGUUUGCUGGCCGCUGGACAGAGAACGAAAUCUGUCAUGUGUCAGCCACGUACUGAGCACAGAGACGGCCUGGGAAGGAGUGAGUGAAGCCUUGCAACAAGCACCUGCUGUCUGUAGGGAUGGCUGCGAGGUCUUGAGAUAUUCUCCAGCACAAAUAAUAAUCUAAAAUACAACCACACUGUGAAACUCCACUAUGUGGUUAUUGAUGUUCUAUAGGGAUCUCAGAAAGCGACUGGAACUAUAAAGCAGUUGGUGUUUGACGGGGUAUAAAUAGAGCACUUUU